rnacentral:rRNA from 1 species
UACGUAGGGUGCGAGCGUUGUCCGGAAUUAUUGGGCGUAAAGAGCUCGUAGGCGGUUUGUCGCGUCUGCUGUGAAAUCUGGGGGCUCAACCCCCAGCCUGCAGUGGGUACGGGCAGACUAGAGUGCGGUAGGGGAGAUUGGAAUUCCUGGUGUAGCGGUGGAAUGCGCAGAUAUCAGGAGGAACACCGAUGGCGAAGGCAGAUCUCUGGGCCGUAACUGACGCUGAGGAGCGAAAGCAUGGGGAGCGAACAGG